rnacentral:rRNA from 1 species
CAGCAGCCACGGGAAUACGAGGGGGGCAAGCGUUGUUCGGAAUUAUUGGGCGUAAAGGGCGCGUAGGCGGAUGGCACAGUCAGAUGUGAAAUUCCCGAGCUUAACCUGGGGGCUGCAUUUGAUACGUGUUGUCUAGAGUGAGGAAGAGGGUCGUGGAAUUCCCAGUGUAGAGGUGAAAUUCGUAGAUAUUGGGAAGAACACCGGUGGCGAAGGCGGCGACCUGGUCCUUUACUGACGCUGAGGCGCGAAAGCGUGAGGAGCAAACAGGAUUAGAUACCCCUGUAGUCCCUGUCUCUUAUAC